UACGUAGGUGGCAAGCGUUGUCCGGAAUUAUUGGGCGUAAAGCGCGCGCAGGCGGUCCUUUAAGUCUGAUGUGAAAGCCCACGGCUCAACCGUGGAGGGUCAUUGGAAACUGGGGGACUUGAGUGCAGGAGAGAAGAGUGGAAUUCCACGUGUAGCGGUGAAAUGCGUAGAGAUGUGGAGGAACACCAGUGGCGAAGGCGACUCUUUGGCCUGUAACUGGCGCUGAGGCGCGAAAGCGUGGGGAGCAAACAGG
rnacentral:rRNA from 1 species